rnacentral:rRNA from 1 species
UACGGAAGGCAGCAGUGGGGAAUAUUGCACAAUGGGCGAAAGCCUGAUGCAGCUAUGCCGCGUGUAUGAAGAAGGCCUUAGGGUUGUAAAGUACUUUCAUCGGGGAGGAAAAACAAAACUAAUAAUUUUAUUUCUUGACGUUACCCGAAAAAGAAGCACCGGCUAACUCCGUGCCAGCAGCCGCGGUAAUACGGAGGGUGCUAGCGUUAAUCAGAAUUACUGGGCGUAAAGAGCACGUAGGUGGUUUUUUUAAGUCAGAUGUAAAAUCCCUGGGCUUAACCUAGGAACUGCAUUUUGAAACUGAAAUACUAGAGUAUCGUAGAGGGAGGUAGAAUUCUAGGUGUAGCGGUGAAAUGCGUAGAUAUCUGGAGGAAUACCUGUGGCGAAAGCGGCCUCCUAAACGAAUACUGACACUGAGGGUGCGAAAGCGUGGGGAGCAAACAGGGAUUAGAUACC